AUCUUCUUGUUUUAAGAACUCUGCUAAAAUUACUGUUCCUGGAUGUCUGGGUUCUGUAAUAAUGCUAACAGGGUACACACAGGAAGUAGAAUACAUGCACUCUUAUCGAUUUUGGACAUGGGUGGACCUCUUUCUUAAUGUCCAGUACCCUCUGUCUGAAAGAUUUGGUGCAACAACU